UACGGAGGGGACUAGCGUUGUUCGGAAUUACUGGGCGUAAAGCGCACGUAGGCGGCCCGCUAAGUCGAACGUGAAAUCCCCGAGCUCAACUCGGGAACUGCGUCCGAUACUGGCGGGCUUGAAUCCGGGAGAGGGAUGCGGAAUUCCAGGUGUAGCGGUGAAAUGCGUAGAUAUCUGGAGGAACACCGGUGGCGAAGGCGGCAUCCUGGACCGGUAUUGACGCUGAGGCGCGAAAGCUAGGGGAGCAAACGGG
rnacentral:rRNA from 1 species